rnacentral:rRNA from 1 species
GGGAAUAUUGGACAAUGGGCGAAAGCCUGAUCCAGCAAUGCCGCGUGUGUGAAGAAGGUCUUCGGAUUGUAAAGCACUUUCGACGGGGACGAUGAUGACGGUACCCGUAGAAGAAGCCCCGGCUAACUUCGUGCAG